rnacentral:rRNA from 1 species
UACGGGGGGGGUAAGCGUUGUUCGGAAUUAUUGGGCGUAAAGAGCUCGUAGGCGGUUUGUCGCGUCGAAUGUGAAAUCCCGGGGCUCAACCCCGGGUCUGCAUUCGAUACGGGCAGACUAGAGUUCGGUAGGGGAGUCUGGAAUUCCUGGAUGUAGCGGUGAAAUGACGCAGAUAUCAGGAGGAACACCGGUGGCGAAGGCGGCAUCCUGGACCGGUAUUGACGCUGAGGCGCGAAAGCUAGGGGAGCAAACGGG